rnacentral:rRNA from 1 species
GAUUAACGCUAGCGGCAGGCCUAAUACAUGCAAGUCGAACGGCAGCACGGGUAGCAAUACCUGGUGGCGAGUGGCGCACGGGUGAGUAACACGUAUGCAAUCUACCCUUAACUGGGAGUAACCUUCGAAGAAGGCGUAAUACCGCAUAACACUUCGAGAAGGCAUCUUCAUGAAGUUAAACCUACCGGGAGUUAAAGAAUGAGCAUGCGCUCGAUUAGUUAGUUGGUGAGGUAAUGGCUCACCAAGACUUCGAUCGA